rfam:Salmo salar isolate Sally breed double haploid chromosome ssa09, whole genome shotgun sequence.
UGCAUUCACUACUGUAAGUCGCUCUGGAUAAGAGCGUCUGCUAAAUGACUGUAA